rnacentral:rRNA from 1 species
GACGAACGCUGGCGGCGUGCUUAACGCAUGCAAGUCGAACGGAAAGGCCUGCUUUCCCUUGUGGAUUGCGGGUACUCGAGUGGCGAACGGGUGAGUAACACGUGAGUGAUCUGCCCCCAACUUGGGUAUAAGCCUGGGAAACUGGGUCUAAUUCCCGAUAGGACUGCAGGGUGGUGCCUGUGGUGGAAAACGAUUUUCUAGUGGUUGGGGAUGAGCUCGCGGCCUAUCAGCUUGUUGGUGGGGUAAUGGCCUACCAAGGCGGCGACGGGUAGCCGGCCUGAGAGGGUGGACGGCCACAUUGGGCCUGAGAUACGGCCCAGACUCCUACGGGAGGCAGCAGUGGGGAAUAUUGCACAAUGGGCGGAAGCCUGAUGCAGCGACGCCGCGUGGGGGAUGACGGCCUUCGGGUUGUAAACUCCUUUCGACCGCGAGGAAGCCACCUGGUUGGAAGGGUGGUGACGGUAGUGGUAGAAGAAGCACCGGCUAACUACGUG